GUGGUGCCAAGAUGGCCGCCCAGUGACAUCACGGUGACGUGGUGACAUCAGACCGAGGUGGCCACCGGGGGAGGUUGAAGCGGUUCCAAGAUGGCCGCCAAGGGGGUGUGGCACCGAGAUGGCGCCUGGUGACAUCAGAGUGGCCCCAAGAUGGCUGCUGGGGGGAGGCUUUGAGGGGAUGUGACACCAAGAUGGCGUCUGGUGACAUCACGGUGACCUGGUGACAUCAGAGUGACACCGAGAUGGCCACCAGGUGACGUUGAAGUGGCCCCAAGAUGGUCACAAAGGGGGGUGUGGUGCCAAGAUGGCCGCCCGGUGACAUCCAGGUGGCCUGGUGACAUCAGAGCGGCACCAAGAUGGCCGCCUGGUGACAUUGAGGAGGUGUGUCACCGAGAUGGUGGCCACCAGGUGACCAAGUGGCUCCAAGAUGGUGGCCCGGUGACAUCAGUGACGCUGAGGUGGCCACCAGGUGAGGUUGAAGUGGCCCCAAGAUGGUCGCCGAGGUGGGUGUGGCACCAAGAUGGCACCUGGUGACAUCAGAGUGGCACAAAAUGGCCGCUGAGGGGGUGUCAAGGGGGUGUGACACCAAGAUGGUGGCCUGGUGACAUCCCGGUGGCCUGGUGACAUCAGAGUGGCACCAAGAUGGCCGCCUGGUGACAUUGAGGAGGUGUGUCACCGAGAUGGUGGCCACCAGGUGACCAAGUGGCUCCAAGAUGGUGGCCCGAUGACAUCCUGGUGACAUCAGAGUGACACCGAGGUGGCCACCAGGGGAGGUUGAAGCGGCCCCAAGAUGGUCGCCGAGGUGGGUGUGGCUCCAAGAUGGCCGCCGCCGGGUGACAGUGACGGUGUCCCUGGGGUGUGUGGGGACAGGAGGUGACACGGGGACGGUGACAUCCGCGGGGGGGGACUUUAUUGGGGACACGCCCACGUCACGGGGACACGGGGACGGCGCUGUCACCGGGAGGGAUCCGUGUUGUCACCCGGGGGGUCCGUGUCACCUGUGGGCGCGGUGUCCGUGUCACCCGGGGGGUCCGAGGGUCCCCGUGUCACCCGGGGGCUCGGUGUCACCCACAUCCUGGUGUCACCCAUGGUCUUGGUGUCCCCAAGGGUCUCGGUGUCCCCCAGGGUCCCCACGUUCCCCACCGUCCCGGUGUCCCCAAGGUCCUCGGUGUCCCCCGUGGUCUUGGUGUCCCCGAGGGUCCCCGUGUCCCCAACAGUCCCAGUGUCACCCAAGGUCCCCGUGUCACCCCUGGUCCCGGUGUCCCCAAAGGUCUCUGUGUCCCCGGGGCCCUCGGUGUCACCUCCAGUCUCAGUGUCACCCGUGGCCCUGGUGUCCCCCAGGGGUCUCGGUGUCCCCAAGGUCCUCAGUGUCACCUGGGGGCUCGGUGUCCCCGAAAGUCCCCCUGUCCCCAACCAUCUCAGUGGCCCCAAAGGUCAGGGUGUCACCCAAGGUCCUGGUGUCCCCAAGGGUCCCGGUGUCCCCAACAGUCUCCGUGUCACCCAAGGUCCCCAUGUCACCCCUGGUCCCAGUGUCCCCAAAGGUCUCUGUGUCCCCGGGGCCCUCGGUGUCACCUCCAGUCUCAGUGUCACCCGUGGCCCUGGUGUCCCCGAGGGUCCCCGUGUCACCCGUGGCCCUGGUGUCCCCCAAGGGUCUUGGUGUCCCCAAAAGUCCCCGUGUCCCCAACCAUCUCAGUGACCCCGAGGGUCUCGGUGUCACCCGGGGUCCCCACGUCACCUGUGGUCCCAGUGACCCCGAGGGUCUGGGUGUCACCCGUGGUCUCGGUGUCACCCCUGGUCUUGGUGUCCCCAAGGAUCUCGUUGUCCCCUGUGGUCUUGGUGUCCCCCGUGGUCUCAGUGUCACCCAUGGUCGCGGUGUCCCCGAGGGUCCGGGUGUCCCCGGGGGUUGGGGUGUCCCCCGUGGUCGCGGUGUCCCCGGGGGUCCCGGUGUCCCCAAGGGUCCGGGUGUCCCCGAGGGUCCGGGUGUCCCCGGGGGUCGGGGUGUCCCCCGCAGUCGGGGUGUCCCCGGGGAGGUGACACUUUUGGCGCAGGAGGCUCCGGUAGCGGGAGGUGGCAGCGGCCACGGCCUCCUGCAGCUCCGCCACCUCCAGCGCCACCGUCACCCCUGGGGGGGCAGGGGGGGGUCAG
rnacentral:lncRNA from 1 species